rnacentral:rRNA from 1 species
UACCAGCACCCCGAGUGGUCGGGACGUUUAUUGGGCCUAAAGCAUCCGUAGCCGGUUCUACAAGUCUUCCGUUAAAUCCACCUGCUUAACAGAUGGGCUGCGGAAGAUACUAUAGAGCUAGGAGGCGGGAGAGGAAGCGGUACUCGAUGGGUAGGGGUAAAAUCCGUUGAUCCAUUGAAGACCACCAGUGGCGAAGGCGGCUUGCCAGAACGCGCUCGACGGUGAGGGAUGAAAGCUGGGGGAGCAAACCGG